UACGGAGGGUGCAAGCGUUAUCCGGAUUCACUGGGUUUAAAGGGUGCGUAGGAGGGCAGGUAAGUCAGUGGUGAAAUCUCCAAGCUUAACUUGGAACUGCCGUUGAUACUAUCUGUCUUGAAUACCGUGGAGGUGAGCGGAAUAUGUCAUGUAGCGGUGAAAUGCUUAGAUAUGAACAUAGAACACCAAUUGCGAAGGCAGCUCGCUACACGAAUAUUGACUCUGAGGCACGAAAGCGUGGGGAUCAAACAGGGA
rnacentral:rRNA from 1 species